rnacentral:lncRNA from 1 species
CAAGAGAUUUUUACAAUAUAAAAUUAUUAAAAUAUUUAACAUUUCUUACAUGCAAAGUGAAAAAAAAUGGCUGAAACUCUCAAGUUUAUUUAUACUGUGAUGUUUUUUGUUUCCCUAUUUUUCAUUGUAAUCAUUAAUGCAGUCCCCAACUUUGAUUCAACAAGUAAGCUCAUUCUCAUAAUUUUUUGUUUUGUUUUAUACACAAUCUUUCACUCUUCUUAGGAUGUUUCUUUAUUCUUAUUUUACAGUGUGUAAAACAGACCAAGAUUGCAUAAGGAUUUGUGCUACUAUGCAUAAAUGUUAUAAUUGUCUACCCAUAUGCGAAAGAGGUAAAUGUAUAAAGAGGUAAAUCAAAUUUCUCUAUGUCAUUUCAUUUUUUUUAUAAGUAAAAAUAGAAAUGCGUCUAUCAUGAAAAAAAAUGUCUUAAACGGAAAUCGAUCCCACGACAUGUCAUUCCAUUUUUGUUCAUAAUGUUGUUACUCUUUUAAUUUCUCUGAUAUUUUCAUAUAUUUCUCCGAUCUUUCAAUUUCUUUGGUAGCCUUAAAAACAAGAUUUUAUUAUAUAGAGCAUAUGACAUAAAAAAGAAAUAAAAAGAAGAUAUGUUCUACUUAUAGUCAAUUUAAGAAAGGAAUAACUCAAAAGUCAAUUAUAAUCGAAGAUCUUCUAUAUAACAUUUGUAAUAUUUGCAUCUUAAUUAAUUGAUUGAUUAUCAUUUAUCUAUUAAUUGAUAACAUCAAAAUAUUAAACUAUGGAAACUCUAAUGUAUAUAAUGGCAACAUAUAUACAUAGGUAAGGUAGAGUGUAAAGAGAAAUGAUUGGAGUGCAUGUCAAAGUACCUUACCAAUUGAAAAAAAGCAGUACCAAGCUCCUAUAGAUCAAAAUUGAUCUAACUCAUAUACAUAUCUUUCAGUUAUAUGUGCACCUUAGAUGGUUUGGUGUUAUGUGUGUUUGUUUUUAUCCAAUGCAAUUGUUAUACCACUUUAAAAAGUGAUUUCGAAAUUAUCUUACCUUAUGACUUCUAUAUAUUUUUCUUUUAUUAAUUAUAUGCAGGUUGGAUCGAACCUAAGUAGUAGUAUUUAAGUGUUUGUACACAAGAAUAAAGUGCAGAAUUAUUCUUUCAGUCACCUAUGUUAUGUUGUUCUAUUAUUUUGUAUGUUUCAAUUGUGAUGUAAGACUUUGAUAUUGUUACAUCAGGAUCGGAUUUUGUGAGAAGUUGGGAGGGAAGCUGCUGCCAAGGUUUUAAAUUGCGGUCCGCAUCCGCAAUUGCGGUCGCAGUAUAUUGCUGAUGCGCUAGCCUCCGCAACCGCAUCGCACCGCAAUUGCGGUGUGAUCUUAAUUCACGUGUACGGCCGCAUCGUAAUCGCAUCACAACCGCAUCGGAAGUCGCAUCAGAUGUUUUCGGCGAUGUUCCUUCAAAUUUUCUCACCAAAAAGUAAAAUUAUGAACUUCAAAUCCUAAUUUGUGUCAAAUUAAUGAAAAAUCUUACUUUUAACAAUCUCUCAACCGUGUAUUUUAAAUACAUUCAAAUUAUUGUUUAUAGAAUAAACUAAGACUAUGCAAUGGUGGAUA